UCAAGAAACUUCCACAAUGGGCGAAAGCCUGAUGGAGCGACGUCGCGUGAUGGACGAAGUGCUUCGGCACGUAAACAUCUUUUAUGUGGGAUGAAAUUAUUGACAGUACCACAUGAAUAAGGGGCUCCUAACUCUGUGCCAGCAGGAGCGGUAAUACAGAGGCCCCAAGCGUUAUCCGGAAUCACUGGGCGUAAAGGGUGUCGAGGCGGUUGUAUUAGUCGUUCGUAAAAUCUACGAGCUUAACUUGUAGGCGGCGAACGAAACGGUACGACUUGAGGUUUGGAGAGGUGCGUGGAACUCACGGUGUAGGGGUGAAAUCCGUUGAUACCGUGGGAACACCAAAGGCGAAGGCAGCGCACUGGCCAAAAUCUGACGCUCACACACGAAAGCUAGGGUAGCGAAGAGGAUUAGAUACCCAAGUAGUCCCUGAG
rnacentral:rRNA from 1 species